rnacentral:rRNA from 1 species
AUUGAACGCUGGCGGCGUGCUUAACACAUGCAAGUCGAUCGGUAACAGGUGUAGCAAUACAUGCUGACGAGAGGCGGACGGGUGAGGAACGCUUGGGAAUCUGCCCAUCAGCGGGGGACAACCCGGGGAAACCCGGGCUAAUACCGCAUACGCUCCACGGAGGAAAGCCGGGGACCGCAAGGCCUGGCACUGAAGGAUGAGCCCAAGUCGGAUUAGCUAGUUGGCGGGGUAACGGCCCACCAAGGCGACGAUCCGUAGCAGGUCUGAGAGGACGAUCAGCCACACUGGGACUGAGACACGGCCCAGACUCCUACGGGAGGCAGCAGUGGGGAAUAUUGGACAAUGGGGGAAACCCUGAUCCAGCGACGCCGCGUGGGUGAAGAAGGCCUGCGGGUUGUAAAGCCCUUUCGGUAGGGACGAAAGCUCUCGACCUAACACGUCGGGAGGAUGACUUAACCUACAAAAGAAGCACCGGCUAACUCUGUGCCAGCCGCCGCCGUAAUAC